rnacentral:lncRNA from 1 species
UUAAAUAACCAAGGGAUUCAUAAACAAAGAGAAUCAAAGGGAGUUCUUACAAAACAUAGCAAUCCAAGGAAAACCAAUCCGAUGAAGUGUUAAUUGACAUCCAAAGCAAUCCAAUGAAUCCAAGAUUGAAAGUAAGUGUUGUGGAACUCUAAAAACCUUAAGAAAGAGGUGAAAAUCGCCUCUAGAGGCUGCUGGGUUCGAAGAUGAUAAAGUAAAACCCUAGAAAGGGGUUUUUAAUCGAAAAAUCGUACUUUCGGAUCUGAACAGAGGCGGCGGCGCCGUGGGACGGCGGCCGCCGUGCACGGCGCGCGCCGUGCCACGGCGCCGCCGUGUAUGCCUUUCGCAGACUGCAAUGCGCAGCGUUUUUGUUUUGGUCCGUUCUCCCUCGUUUCAAGUCGGAUUUUAGAUCCGUUUUCGC